CCUACGGGAGGCAGCAGUAGGGAAUCUUCCGCAAUGGGCGAAAGCCUGACGGAGCAACGCCGCGUGAGUGAUGAAGGUCUUCGGAUCGUAAAACUCUGUUAUCAGGGAAGAACAAAUGUGUAAGUAACUGUGCACAUCUUGACGGUACCUGAUCAGAAAGCCACGGCUAACUACGUGCCAGCAGCCGCGGUAAUACGUAGGUGGCAAGCGUUAUCCGGAAUUAUUGGGCGUAAAGCGCGCGUAGGCGGUUUUUUAAGUCUGAUGUGAAAGCCCACGGCUCAACCGUGGAGGGUCAUUGGAAACUGGAAAACUUGAGUGCAGAAGAGGAAAGUGGAAUUCCAUGUGUAGCGGUGAAAUGCGCAGAGAUAUGGAGGAACACCAGUGGCGAAGGCGACUUUCUGGUCUGUAACUGACGCUGAUGUGCGAAAGCGUGGGGAUCAAACAGGAUUAGAUACCCUGGUAGUCCACGCCGUAAACGAUGAGUGCUAAGUGUUAGGGGGUUUCCGCCCGUUAGUGCUGCAGCUAACGCAUUAAGCACUCCGCCUGGGGAGUACGACCGCGAAGGUUGAAACGUCAAAGUAGUAGUAGACGUGAGACGNGCGACGGACGGACGACCGAGGGAGGGUUAGG
rnacentral:rRNA from 1 species